rnacentral:rRNA from 1 species
ACGUAGGAGGCAAGCGUUAUUCGGAUUUACUGGGCGUAAAGCGCGUGCAGGCGGUUCGGAAAGUUGGAUGUGAAAGCUCCUGGCUUAACUGGGAGAGGUCGUUCAAUACUUCCGGACUUGAGAGUGGGAGAGGGAGGUGGAAUUCCGGGUGUAGUGGUGAAAUGCGUAGAUAUCCGGAGGAACACCAGUGGCGAAAGCGGCCUCCUGGCCCAUUUCUGACGCUCAGACGCGAAAGCUAGGGUAGCAAACGG